UGGGGAAUAUUGGACAAUGGGGGCAACCCUGAUCCAGCCAUGCCGCGUGUGUGAAGAAGGCCUUUUGGUUGUAAAGCACUUUAAGCAGUGAAGAAGACUCCAUGGUUAAUACCCAUGGACGAUGACAUUAGCUGCAGAAUAAGCACCGGCUAACUCUGUGCCAGCAGCCGCGGUAAUACAGAGGGUGCAAGCGUUAAUCGGAAUUACUGGGCGUAAAGCGAGCGUAGGUGGCUUGAUAAGUCAGAUGUGAAAGCCCCGGGCUUAACCUGGGAACGGCAUCUGAUACUGUUAGGCUAGAGUAGGUGAGAGGAAGGUAGAAUUCCAGGUGUAGCGGUGAAAUGCGUAGAGAUCUGGAGGAAUACCGAUGGCGAAGGCAGCCUUCUGGCAUCAUACUGACACUGAGGUUCGAAAGCGUGGGUAGCAAACA
rnacentral:rRNA from 1 species